rfam:Angiostrongylus cantonensis strain Taiwan genome assembly, scaffold: ACAC_contig0009990
GGCCUUGUGGCCUAAUGGAUAGGGCGUCGGACUUCGGAUCCGAAGAUUGCAGGCCCGAGUCCUGCCAGGGUCG